CUACGUGCCAGCAGCCGCGGUAAUACGGAAGGUUCUGGCGUUAUCCGGAUUUAUUGGGUUUAAAGGGAGCGUAGGCUGUUUUUUAAGCGUGUUGUGAAAUGUACCGGCUCAACCGGUGAUGUGCAGCGCGAACUGGAAGACUUGAGUGUGUUGUAAGUAGGCGGAAUUCGUGGUGUAGCGGUGAAAUGCUUAGAUAUGACGAAGAACUCCGAUUGCGAAGGCAGCUGACGGGAGCGCAACUGACGCUUAAGCUCGAAGGUGCGGGUAUCGAACAGGAUUAGAUACCCUGGUAGUCCGCACAGUAAACGAUGGAUGCCCGCUGUUGGUACUUGGUAUCAGCGGCUAAGCGAAAGCAUUAAGCAUCCCACCUGGGGAGUACGCCGGCAACGGUGAAACUCAAAGGAAUUGACGGGGGCCCGCACAAGCGGAGGAACAUGUGGUUUAAUUCGAUGAUACGCGAGGAACCUUACCCGGGCUUGAAUUGCAGAGGAAGUAUUUAGAGAUA
rnacentral:rRNA from 1 species